GGUCUCCGCCCCUCAGGGGGCCUGUUUCCGGCUGAGUCAGCGUGGGGGGCCCAAGGCUGCGUCAGUGAGGGGAGAACUGACGUAGCCCCCCCCCCCAGACCGGCAGGGCCAGCCAAGACACAGAGACUGGAGCACAGACAUCCAGAGUGAGAAAAAGACGAAGUCAUAAAACAAUGGGGUCUACAGACAAAAGAAGUUCUAAAGAAACAAGCUCAGAGGCUCGGAGACAAGGACCAGGGGAGCCCACAGCCCAAGGCUCUGAGGGGGGCUCACAAACAUGAGAGAAGAUGCCACUGGAAUGCGAGCCGGGAGCCAGGGGUCCUUGCUCAUGUGCUGGCCCCUGGGCGAGGGAGCCCGAUGCGGGACUCGAUCCCGGGACGCCAGGAUCAUGACCUGAGCCGAAGGCAGUCGCUUAACCAACUGAGCCACCCAGGUGCCCAGGAAGCAACUUCUUCACAACCAGGCAUGACCAG